GCCACAUCAAGUUGAAACACCAAUUCCUGUAUGAUCACCAAAGUUAAGCAAAGUGGAGCCUGAUCAGUACCUAGAUAGGAGACUACUUCGGAAUACCAGGUGCUGUAAG